rnacentral:rRNA from 1 species
GAUGAACGCUGGCGGCGUGCUUAACACAUGCAAGUCGAACGGAAAGGCCCAAGCUUGCUUGGGUACUCGAGUGGCGAACGGGUGAGUAACACGUGGGUGAUCUGCCCUGCACUUCGGGAUAAGCCUGGGAAACUGGGUCUAAUACCGGAUAGGACCACUUCUUGGAUGUUGUGGUGGAAAGUUUUUUCGGUGUGGGAUGAGCUCGCGGCCUAUCAGCUUGUUGGUGGGGUAAUGGCCUACCAAGGCGUCGACGGGUAGCCGGCCUGAGAGGGUGUACGGCCACAUUGGGACUGGGAUACGGCCCAGACUCCUACGGGAGGCAGCAGUGGCGAAUAUUGCACAAUGGGCGCAAGCCUGAUGCAGCGACGCCGCGUGGGGGAUGACGGCCUUCGGGUUGUAAACUCCUUUCGCUAGGGACGAAGCGUUUUGUGACGGUACCUGGAGAAGAAGCACCGGCUAACUACGUG